rnacentral:misc_RNA from 1 species
GUACGUCAUCCACACCCUAAACGAUGAAUACUAGAUGUUGGUUUUUUAUAAAAUCAGUAUCCAAGCUAACGCAUUAAGUAUUCCACCUGGGAAGUACAAUCGCAAGGUUGAAACUCAAAGGAAUUGACGGGGGCCCGCACAAGCAGUGGAGCAUGUGGUUUAAUUCGACGCAACGCGAAGAACCUUACCUGGGCUUGACAUGCGGGGUGAAACCGUAGAGAUACGGCGCUCCUCGGAGCCCGCACAGGUGGUGCAUGGCUGUCGUCAGCUCGUGCCGUGAGGUGUUGCCUUAAGUGGCGCAACGAGCGCAACCCCUGUCCUUAGUUGCCAGCGGGUAAUGCCGGGAACUCUAGGGAGACUGCCGGUGCCAAACCGGAGGAAGGUGGGGAUGACGUCCCAC